rnacentral:rRNA from 1 species
ACUCCUACGGGAGGCAGCAGUGGGGAAUAUUGGACAAUGGGGGAACCCGUCGAUCCAGCCAUGCCGCGUGUGUGAAGAAGGCCUUAUGGUUGUAAAGCACUUUAAAGCGAGGAGGAGGCUACUCUAGUUAAUACCUAGGGAUAGUGGACGUUACUCGCAGAAUAAGCACCGGCUAACUCUGUGCCAGCAGCCGCGGUAAUACAGAGGGUGCGAGCGUUAAUCGGAUUUACUGGGCGUAAAGCGUGCGUAGGCGGCUUAUUAAGUCGGAUGUGAAAUCCCCGAGCUUAACUUGGGAAUUGCAUUCGAUACUGGGUGAGCUAGAGUAUGGGAGAGGAUGGUAGAAUUCCAGGUGUAGCGGUGAAAUGCGUAGAGAUCUGGAGGAAUACCGAUGGCGAAGGCAGCCAUCUGGCCUAAUACUGACGCUGAGGUACGAAAGCAUGGGGAGCAAA